rnacentral:lncRNA from 1 species
CCCGCCAAAAUUUGGGUUUUAAGGCAAAAUAUUUAUUUUUCCUUAUCCGUGACCUAUGUUUUUUAUUUGCUCAUUUUUUGAAGCUAUAGUUCAGCUUUUAUAUUACAGUUUUGGACCAAGUGUCAUAGAACGUUUUUUUGAUAUUCCGAUAAAAAUAUGUCAACACCUCUAUUUUCCCUAUCAUUUCAUUGAAAAAUGGCCCCUUUUACAUACCUGUUUAAAAGUAAAAUUUUGAACUUAAAAGGUCCGUGACCCCCUAUUUUUUUUUCGACCAAUUGGAUUCACUUUCUGUAAAGAAUAAAAUAACAAAAAAUACGGCACUUCUGAUAGAAACUUCGAAUAGGCCCGAGC